rnacentral:rRNA from 1 species
UGGAGGCAGCAGUGGGGAAUAUUGCACAAUGGGGGAAACCCUGAUGCAGCAACGCCGCGUGAGCGACGAAGGCCUUCGGGUUGUAAAGCUCUGUCUUCUCUGACGAAGUAAUGACGGUAAGAGAGGAGGAAGCCACGGCUAACUACGUGCCAGCAGCCGCGGUAAUACGUAGGUGGCAAGCGUUGUCCGGAAUUAUUGGGCGUAAAGGGUGCGUAGGUGGCAGUUUAAGUGGGAUGUGAAAUACCUGGGCUUAACUCAGGGAUUGCAUUCCAAACUGGACUGCUAGAGUGCAGGAGAGGAAAGUGGAAUUCCCAGUGUAGCGGUGAAAUGCGUAGAGAUUGGGAGGAACACCAGUGGCGAAGGCGACUUUCUGGACUGUAACUGACACUGAGGCACGAAAGCGUGGGGAGCAAACAGGAUUAGAUACCCCGGU